ensembl:lncRNA
AAAGUCCUACCAGUUGGUUGAGCCAACUGUCGAGUGACUCCGUGAGGAUCAACCUGCCACAGAUGCUGUAGUCUUGUUUAUCACAUUUAAAGUAAGCGAGUCUCAGAGAAAGAGAAUUGUUCCUAGUUAAAGCUUCAUUGCCAUGGUAAGCCGUCACAAUGAGACAGAACCCGUUGACAGGAAAACUUUACCUGAUCCAUUUCAUCCACUGGUGCUAUUCGGGGUUAUCAGCACAAUGCUGGUCCUCUCACUAGCUUGGAAUAUUUUUUGCUGUGUGUCAAAAUGUCACUCAGGGAAAGGGAUAUGUAAACGAAGGACAAGGGGAAGACGGAGCCAAAGGCAGAUGGAAGAUAAUCCUAUUUAUGGAAACAUAGGCUUCGUGCAGACAAGCACGGCUUUGUACACAGGAGGUGAUCCUCAACCCUCUUCAUCUUUGAGGGGUCAGCAUAGAGUCAAUUCUGACUCACAGUCCGGACCUCAGGAAUGCUAUGCCAACCUGACCCUGAAGCCUCCCAGGCCGCAGUCUGGCCGCAGCUCUCCACAGAUACAGUACUCAGAUGCAGUUCAUUUAGAAGAGCCGCCAGAGUCAGAGAAGGAAGAUGAAUGCAACACAGACGCCAUGUCCAUUAUGUCUGAUCUGUAUGCUUCUGUGCAAAACCAGCGCACCAAAACCAUCGACACUGCAGACAGCGGAGAGGGUUACGCCAACCAUCUCUGAGAGGCCAUGAAUGCUAUUUAUGCAGGUUGACCUGCCACCACAGGAUGGCACUGUUUGUUCUUUUCAUUAUAUAAAAAAAUGAGAUCCCUCCUGUAGUGAAGUGGUGCAUGUUGCUCAUGCACACUAACUGAAUUGUACUAGUUUAACUGGAGAAUGCUCAAUACAUUUUUUUGGUCUUGACUAGUUUCGGUGUUGCUGGUGUCUCUGAGUGAAUCAUUUGAUUGUUAAUUUCCUAUAUCUUUAAAUUGGUUCUAUGCUAAACACCCUGGGAUUAAUUGAUUGUGUCAUCGGUACAGAAAUGAUUCCCAUUGAUUAUUAAAGAUCCAUUCCUGUUGAAGAGAUACAAAUACUCUGCUUUAAAUAAUAAUGUUUCCUGAUGUGUUUUUUGUUCUCCUCAUUUUAGAGUUUCUCAUCACACUUGGUUUACAAACGAGUUGUGAUGUCACAAAAUAAUGCUUGUUUGUACAACUUAGAUUAAAGGUGAGCAAAGAGAAACUUUCCCCCCUUGAUGGGAUGAACGUAAAAAAAGCACAUAAAGUGAUUCUGCACAGUGAAGCUCAAACAUCCAACUGAUGUAACAAUGAGCAAAAACAAUGAGUGGAGUCGUCAAAAAAAAGCUGUCCCUCUAAAACUGGGUAUGAUGAAGUACAGAUGAAGUGUUAUACUGUAAAUGCCAGCUCCUUGUCCUUCUGUAGCCUUCAAUUAAAGUAUUUUAAAGUUAAUAUUUAAACCAGUCAGGUCUGACCCAACAACAACAACUGUUACUGCAAUAAUAGGCAACUGUUAUUAAAACUGAACGUAAAAAGUAAACUUUGCUUGAAGUCUUUAUUAUUUAUCUUUUUUCCCAGUGUUUCAGCUCACUCAUUGCUUUAACACAUAACACCC